AACCACUUGGGCUUAGCCCAAGUGGCCAGAGUCACUCCCUCACAAAUGUGAGGGAAGUGGUUCGAGCCUCCGCAGACGUAUUGUAGGGGUUUGAUUUCAAUUUCCUUCCUUGGAGCCCCAGAGCUUGAGUGAAGGCAGUCUUUCUCCCAGAAUGGGAGUUGACGUCCCUCGAAUAUUUGAGAGGGUUAAAAAUCUGAGCGGUGCCAUAUCAAAAUUGAUGUAAACGGGUCUCAGUAUAUAUAUGAUUGUAAAUGUCAUCAUGAGCAAUAGUUCUCAUUCAAAAAAAAAAAAAAAG
rnacentral:lncRNA from 1 species